UACAAAUCCGUCUGAGUCGUAUAUCAACACGACCAGAGACAUUACACUGACAGUUACUCUAGAAAAUCUCUAUCUAAACAAACCCGAGGAUCUCAAAACUCUUUGCUUGUCCGCUAGAUGACUCAUUACUGUCUAUGCCUCAUCAUUUCCAGUUUGAUUUAAAGGAAAAGAUUGCAACUCCGCCCGAUCUGGAAAGGCAAUGGGAAUGCACGUUGCAUAGGUAGUAGCACGUCUUGAAAUAGCUUCGGCUAGGCACUGGCGUUGACCAAUGGAUUAGAGAGAUAACGGUCAAGUAACAACGGACGCAAUAGCAAUAGACAUAGGAAGGGAAUGAUACUUUAUUCAGUUGUCUUCCUGUGUGCUGCGUACUGUGUUUAUCAGCUCACUGUAAAUAUUUUUGUCUGAAAUGUGGCACGAGUGGAAGGCUAAGCAUCGCUUAUAAUGUAAGGCGGACUCGCUGGCCUAGUUUCACAAAGACUCUUGGUUUGCUACAAUUGCUACAAAGCAUCGUUUGCUGGGUCCGUUAAUGAGGCAAUCGUUUUAAAAUACUUGAGUAAUAGGAAAAGUCAACUUCCAUAUUACUUAACAAUCCCAUGUUGUGUAAAUAUUCAUAAUUCAGCACACUGUGUAGUUAUAACACAUUACACUCCACCGUGUCCGUUACUUAAGUUGCAUUUUUCACCAAUUCAUUAUGAAAAGUGCGGGGGUCUACUAAUGAACACAUCGAAGUCUUUUGUAGCCACUUUCAGUUUUUAUUUCUUUCCAUCAAGUUCCAAUGCCAUAUUCCUCUGGCUGUUUCAACUAUCCAGGGUGCUCAGAAUCGACUCGGAAACCGGACGCGGAGACGUUUUACACCGGAAAUUGAAAAUCUCUUUCAUUCGCACAGGAAAGUGGGGGAAUCCUGGCGAGACCAAAUCACAAUGAAACGAUCAGGAAAUCGGCAUUAAACCAACGUUUUGGAGCGGAUUGACAAGUUGUUUUUUUAAACAAUCUACGUACGCGAGAUUCUAUUUCUUCAUUCGCCUGUCUUCAAUGAAUGCCUCAGUCGACGAGGGAGGCUGUAAUAAUAAAUCUCUACAUGAUUCAACAAGGAAUUGAGUCUAGUAUCCAUGCCACAUCCGUAUACGUAGGCCUACGUACUAGAUGCUACAGUGCUUACUUUGAGCAGAAAAAGAGGGAGGCAGCCAAGAAGCGGGUGGAUGGCUGCAUCAGGAGACUAGCGACGGUUAAAGACGAAGCACUGAAGUUUUUUGCGGUCAUCAAACAGAUCUGCGCCUAUCAAAGUCUUUCAAGCGUCAAUAUCUUUCAGUCCUUUGAAAGACCUUUGAAGAUCCUCGGCGGCGCCAUUUUCUCCCCACCCAAGCCUUCCACCUUCUGCCGCGUCCCCCUCUUUUUUUUUUUUUUUUUUUUUCCCUUUUUUUUCUUUCUCUUGGGUCUCUUCACAAGGCAAUUGCCCAUACACACCAAAUCAAUCCGCAUCAAAACAUCCAGCGACAUCUUUUUCAUCCACCCUCCACGCUCAUUUCUUUCUCUUACAACCGAGCGCGUCCUCUUUUUUUUCAUUUUAUUAUUACUUUCCUUGUUCUUCUUCUUUACGGCCGAUGGAUACCUUUCGCAGCCGUACUUACCGACAUGUCAUACUCGUCUCAUUAGCAUGGCGCUCUUUUUUCUCUCUAUGUGUCCUUCUGUCUCGCCCGCACAAUGUCUGUCCAUGGCUCCAUGCAAUCAGUCUAUCUUUAGGCUUUUCUCUAAUUAUAAUUUGAUUCGUGUAUGGCUUGACAUUGAACACGGAAGUUAAAAUUGCA